rnacentral:rRNA from 1 species
CCUACGGGAGGCAGCAGUGAGGAAUAUUGGUCAAUGGACGAGAGUCUGAACCAGCCAAGUAGCGUGAAGGAUGACUGCCCUAUGGGUUGUAAACUUCUUUUAUAUGGGAAUAAAAUGUUCCACGUGUGGGAUUUUGUAUGUACCAUAUAAAUAAGGAUCGGCUAACUCCGUGCCAGCAGCCGCGGUAAUACGGAGGAUCCGAGCGUUAUCCGGAUUUAUUGGGUUUAAAGGGAGCGUAGGUGGAUUGUUAAGUCAGUUGUGAAAGUUUGCGGCUCAACCGUAAAAUUGCAGUUGAAACUGGCAGUCUUGAGUACAGUAGAGGUGGGCGGAAUUCGUGGUGUAGCGGUGAAAUGCUUAGAUAACACGAAGAACUCCGAUUGCGAAGGCAGUUCACUGGACUGCAACUGACACUGAGGCUCGAAAGUGUGGGUAUCAAACAGGAUUAGAUACCCCAGUAGUC